GUCUAUGACCACGCCACCCUGAACAAGCCCAGUGUCUAAUCUCGGAAGCUAAGCAGAGUCGGGCCUGGUUAGUACUUGGAUGGGAGACCACCUAGGAAGACCAGGUGCUGUAGGCA
rfam:Pteropus alecto contig90091, whole genome shotgun sequence.